UACGUAGGUGGCAAGCGUUGUCCGGAUUUACUGGGGGUAAAGAGCGCGCAGGCGGUCGUUCGAAGUCGCGUGUGAAAGCCCCCGGCUCAACUGGGGAGGGUCACGCGAUACUGAUCGACUGGAAGGCAGGAGAGGGUAGUGGAAUUCCCGGUGUAGUGGUGAAAUGCGUAGAUAUCGGGAAGAAACACCAGUGGCGAAGGCGACUACCUGGCCUGUUCUUGACGCUGAGGCGCGAAAGCUAGGGGAGCAAACGGGGAUUAAGAA
rnacentral:rRNA from 1 species